rnacentral:lncRNA from 1 species
AUGCAUGCAUCCUUCGGCCCGGGAAUAGGCACCGGCCAGGAGCCGGUGGGGCGGGGGGGGGAACAGGAGGGGGGUGGAGGUCUACAGUGCUGCAGGGGAACAGUCUCUGGGGAGCCCCGGGCGGCCCGAGGGAGGCCCGACUGCGAUGUCCAGGGUGGAUGCGGAUGCUCAGCUGCCGCGGCCUCAUUCACCCUUUUGAAAAGGCAGGCAACGGAGAAGCACUCCAUUCUGUCCCCACACACGCGUGCAAAGGCAGCUCCUGGGUGCCCCCCUCAAGAAAUCCUUAUUUUAAAAACAAAAGACAGGCUUGUGGCCAUUCUCAGAGGCGGCCCCUUGACACCCAGGUCUGGAAAGCAGAUUUGCAGAGGCCAAAGAUUAGACAAAAGGCAUGAGCUGGCGACAGACAGACCCAGCGAUGAUUUUUUUUUUUUUUUUUUAAAGUGCUCAAGGCCUCCCAGUUCUAAUUCCAUCUCCCCCUUCUCGGGGACGAUUCCUGGGGGCGCCGAGCAAAUCCCUGGAGGCCUGGAGAGGACGUCGGACAGGGAGGGACAGGAGACCCCGAAACUUUCCCAAACUGCGGCAGGCUGGCGGCGGGCAGCGGCCGCGGACCUCGGGCUCCGGGCUGCGGGCUGCGGGCUCCGGGGGGCACCCCGGAGGCGGCGGCCACCCCUCCCUCCAGCGCCGCCGCCAAAGGGCCGAAUUCGGCCCCCGCCCUGCCCCGGGUCUCCAGGACCGCGGCCCCGAGGGCGCAGCGGGCGGCGGCGGCGGCGACCCCGGGGCAGCCCCCGGUCGCCCCAGGGCGAGGGCGAGGGCGAGGGCGAGGGCGAGGGCGAGGGCGAGGGCGAGGACGGAGCCUCGCGCCCGGGUCGCGGCCGAAGGGCAAGGCCCCCCCGGGCGGCUGCAGGCGGGGCCGCGCGCUCCCCUCGGCCGCCGCCCCCGCCGGAGCCCCCCGCGCCCCGCGCCCCCCGGCGGUGCCGCCCCCUCGGAGCGCGGCGCGGGGGCUGCAGGCCGGCGGCCCCGCUGCGGCUCGGGCUGGGGCCGGGCUGGGGCCGGGCUGGGGCCGGGCGGCCGCGACACAAUGCGGCCCGGGAGGCCCGCCGCCGCCGCCGAGGCCCGCGGCCGACACAAAGCCCCGCGGCCGCCGCCGCCGCCGCGCACCCACCUUGGGCUCCGGCGCCGGGCUCCCGCGGCGCCUUGGUCCCCGCCGUCCAGACGUUGCAGCCCAGCAGGCAGAGCAGCAGCGCCGCCGACCUGCUCAUCUCCGCGCCGCGGGGCCCCGGGCGGCUCGGCUCGGCUCGGCUCGGCUCGGCUCGGCUCGCCGACCACCGGCACGGAGCGGCGCGUCAGGGGCGGCCGGGCGCCGCGCCUCCCUCCAUGGCGCUGGCUCCGCGCGCGCCGGCCGCCGCCCGAUUGGCCCGGCCCCGCCGCCGCCGCCGCUCCCGCCUCCGCGCGCCCCGGCCGGCUUCCCCGGAGAGCCGCGGCCGCCGCUCCGCCGGCGCCUUAACCCCUUCGUGCCUCCCGCCCCGCCCGCGGGCCGCGCCCGGGCCCCGCCGUGGUGCCCCCUGGCGGCCGCCGGGCCGCGCGGGGAGGGGGCGGCGCGCCCACGAGCCCCUCCGCUCCGCCCCGCGCCGUGGCCCCGGGGCCGCCCGCGCCCCGCCCCGCCCCGCCCCCGCCCCCACCCCGCGCCCACGAGCCCCGCGCCCACGAGCCCCCCGCGGCGACGCCCCUCCGCUCGCCCGCGCGCCCCCCACCCCGCGCCCCGAAGCUUUGGACGAAAAAAAAAAAAAACACCUGCAUUUCGGGGCUGAGGCCCUCGCACCUGUUAACAGAGCGGCCCCAGGACGCAUUUGUGUCUCGGGGCGUGGCCUGCCUCAGUUUCCUCGGCAUAACGUCACCUGCGGCGACUCAGCUCCCCAAGAUUGA